UAGGGAAUCUUCCGCAAUGGACGAAAGUCUGACGGAGCAACGCCGCGUGAGUGAUGAAGGUUUUCGGAUCGUAAAACUCUGUUGUUAGGGAAGAACAAGUAUGAGAGUAACUGCUCGUACCUUGACGGUACCUAACCAGAAAGCCACGGCUAACUACGUGCCAGCAGCCGCGGUAAUACGUAGGUGGCAAGCGUUGUCCGGAAUUAUUGGGCGUAAAGCGCGCGCAGGCGGUCCUUUAAGUCUGAUGUGAAAGCCCACGGCUCAACCGUGGAGGGUCAUUGGAAACUGGGGGACUUGAGUGCAGGAGAGAAGAGUGGAAUUCCACGUGUAGCGGUGAAAUGCGUAGAGAUGUGGAGGAACACCAGUGGCGAAGGCGACUCUUUGGCCUGUAACUGACGCUGAGGCGCGAAAGCGUGGGGAGCAAACA
rnacentral:rRNA from 1 species